CUGCUGCCUUCCGUAGGAGUCUGGGCCGUGUCUCAGUCCCAGUGUGGCCGGCCACCCUCUCAGGCCGGCUACCCAUCGUCGCCUUGGUAGGCCAUUACCCUACCAACUAGCUAAUGGGACGCGAGUCCAUCUUUCAGCGUCAGGUCUCCCCAACUUUUCCUAUAUAAACAUGCACUUAUAUAACUCAUCCGGCAUUAGCUCACCUUUCGGUAAGUUGUUCCAGUCUAAAAGGCAGGUCACUCACGUGUUACUCA
rnacentral:rRNA from 1 species